GGCGGCUGUGCCUGAGGUGGCGCUCGGGGCCCCGCUGGCGGCCGGUGGCCCCGGGCUUCAGCAGAACCUCCGUGACCUUGACGAUGGUUCGGCUGAAUGCUCCGCGCCAGAACCCGACAUCCCUCGCAGCAGGCUCCUGGGCAUUUUCAUCUGCCCCUGAUACGAACGAAUCUUUUUGCAGUGGGUUUUCACACGAAAAAAAAAAAAAUCAGUGCACCUUAGCUGAACGUGCCCUGGAGAUCUAAUUUCUUGGCAAUAAUUUUUUAUUCUUCUUUGAAGAUGAUCCAAAGUAGUAUCUUCUAUUAUCAUCUCCAGCCUGUCUUUGGAGAAACAUCUUAGCGUUGGCAGUAAGGAAGCAUUUGUGUGGAUGGAUGAAUGAAUGAACCUUGUAAAGCCCUCUGAGCCAUUUUGAACUGUUAGAACAAAUGUGGUCUUUUCACCUUCAGUGUUUGUGAAAGUUGUUUAUACAUGUGUAGAAGUUCAUAUGGUGGAGCUGUCAAAAACAGUGCCUAGAGACACCCAUGAUUGAGGCAGAUUCACUUUAUCAGCUCACCCUGGAGUCUUACGAGGGUCAGCUCUGGUUCUGUAGCUUGUGUUCUUACUCAAACCCUUCUGUAACAGCUGGGUUUGAAAAACUUCAAGGAACAACUAAUAACAGCCCUGUCUUCUCUUUCUGUCUAAAGUUUCCAGAGCAAGUAUGAUGAGAAACUUAUCCUUUGGCCACAAUUUCUUGAAAACUAUGCUGAGCUCACUGAAGAUGCCAUGAAGAGAUGAAAACUUGAAAUUGUGCUAGCUGUUCAUCAUGUACUGUGUUCUCUCCAGUCUGCAGUGUGUAUGAAAAAAGACACCUUUGCUUCCAUGGAGUGGCAAAAUAGAGUAAUUUAGCCAAUAGGAAUGUUGCUUCAGCAUUCAAAACUUGUUACACUGUUAAAAAGAAAUUACUGUUGUUUUUAUUCUCCUAAAAUAUGGCAUUUUAACAGUAUAGAUUCACUGUUACACUUUUUCAUUUCAGCAAUCACAUAGUUUGCUUUUUCAUAUGUCCUUGGCAUCUAUUUUAAUCAUGUGAAUAACAAAGGACUAACAAGAUCUUUUUCUGUAAGUUACGUAAAGUAUAUUCCACCAUGAAAGGUAAAAGAAAAAAUUACUUAAUGGGGCAUUGUAUUUCUGUGACUGUCCUAUUAUAGAGAAAAUUUAUUUAAUUAUUUUAACUAUAUUGUUAAUGAAUUCAAAAUAAGUCUUGGAAAUGAAGAAUUAGUAUUGUUUAAAUAUUUGGAAUUCUUGAGUGGAUUCUGCUUCUGAUGUUGCUUUCUUCCUCCUUCUUACUACUCAUUUCUAUUAUUAGUUUUUCAGAACAAAUCCUGAUUGCCAUCCCAUGUUUGCAUCUGUCAUGGCUUUCAGUGACUCUAUCAGUAACAUUUGGGCAGUAAAGCCCUUGCAGUUGUUUGCAGCUGAGUUGCUAAUUAUAUUUUUGUUACCUGGGAAGACAGCGGAUCUACAAUAUUCUCAGUUUUGCUAUUUCCCAUGACUAACAAGUGGGACAAGUACAUAAAAUCUCAACUUCCAAUGGCUAACAAGUGGGACAAGUACAUAAAAUCUCAACUUCCCAUGGCUAACAAGUGGGACAAAUACAUAAAAUUUCAAAGAGUCAAAGUAGAUUGAUUGAAUAAUUUAUUCAAUAGCCAUAUGGGUGAAUAGAAGUUGUGACAGGUAUUUUGUUGUCAUUUUAUACUUUGUGGGGCUACUUUGAGUAUCUCAUCCUAGAUUCAUUAAGCAAUCUCUGUUUAGCAGUAUUUGUCCUGUCAAAACAGAUUAAAAAAUUCCCCAGUAGUCAGAAACCUCGCAGAAACAGGAAAAUAGGUCUUUCUUCAUUUUAUGUGAAAUAAUAAAUCUGUUUCUGAUUUUCAAGCAGAAGAAAA